rnacentral:rRNA from 1 species
GAUGAACGCUAGCUACAGGCUUAACACAUGCAAGUCGCGGGGCAGCAUGGGGGUUGCUUGCAAUCCCCGAUGGCGACCGGCGCACGGGUGAGUAACGCGUAUCCAAUCUGCCCUUCACCACGGGAUAACCCGGCGAAAGUCGGACUAAUACCGUAUGUUGUCCAUUGACGGCAUCCGAUUUGGACGAAAGGCUUGGCGGUGAGGGAUGGGGAUGCGUCCGAUUAGCCAGACGGCGGGGUAACGGCCCACCGUGGCUACGAUCGGUAGGGGUUCUGAGAGGAAGGUCCCCCACACUGGAACUGAGACACGGUCCAGACUCCUACGGGAGGCAGCAGUGAGGAAUAUUGGUCAAUGGGCGUAAGCCUGAACCAGCCAAGUAGCGUGCAGGAUGACGGCCCUAUGGGUUGUAAACUGCUUUUAUGCGGGGAUAAAGUGGCCCACGUGUGGGCUUUUGCAGGUACCGCAUGAAUAAGGACCGGCUAAUUCCGUG